AGUGAACGCUGGCGGUAGGCCUAACACAUGCAAGUCGAACGGGAGCACAGUAAUAGCUUGCUCUUACGGGUGGCGAGUGGCGGACGGGUGCGGAAUACAUCGGAAUAUACUUUUUCGUGGGGGAUAACUUCGGGAAACGUACGCUAAUAACGCAUACGACCUGCGGGUGAAAGCAGUGGAUCUUCGUACCUUGCGCGAUGAAGUAAGACGGUGUCGGACCCGAUAGUUGGCGGGGUUACGGCCCACCAAUGCGACGAUCCGUAGCUGGCCUGAGAGGAUGAUCAGCCACACUGGAACAGAGAGACGAUCCAGACUGCUACGGGAGGCAGCAGUGGGGAAUAUUGGACGAUGGGCGCAAGGCAGAUCCAGCCAUACGGCGUAGGUGAAGAAGGCCUUCGGGUUGUAAAGCCGUUUUGUUGGGAAAGAAAAACAGCUGGUUAAGAAGACGAUGUUAUGACGGUACCUAGAGAAUAAGCACCGGCUAACUUGGUG
rnacentral:rRNA from 1 species